UACAGAGGUCUCAAGCGUUGUUCGGAUUCAUUGGGCGUAAAGGGUGCGUAGGCGGCGCGGUAAGUCUGGUGUGAAAUCUUGGAGCUUAACUCCGAAACUGCAUUCGAUACUGCCGUGCUUGAGGACUGGAGAGGAGACUGGAAUUUACGGUGUAGCGGUGAAAUGCGUAGAUAUCGUAAGGAAGACCAGUGGCGAAGGCGGGUCUCUGGACAGUUCCUGACGCUGAGGCACGAAGGCCAGGGGAGAAAACGGG
rnacentral:rRNA from 1 species